UGAGGAAUAUUGGUCAAUGGGCGGGAGCCUGAACCAGCCAAGUCGCGUGAGGGAAGACGGCCCUACGGGUUGUAAACCUCUUUUGCCGGGGAGCAAAGAUACCACGUGUGGUAUAUUGAGAGUACCCGGAGAAAAAGCAUCGGCUAACUCCGUGCC
rnacentral:rRNA from 1 species